rnacentral:rRNA from 1 species
GACGAACGCUGGCGGCGUGCUUAACACAUGCAAGUCGAACGGAGAGGCCCUGCUUUUGUGGGGGUGCUCGAGUGGCGAACGGGUGAGUAACACGUGAGUAACCUGCCCUUGACUUUGGGAUAACUUCAGGAAACUGGGGCUAAUACCGGAUAGGAGCUCCUGCUGCAUGGUGGGGGUUGGAAAGUUUCGGCGGUUGGGGAUGGACUCGCGGCUUAUCAGCUUGUUGGUGGGGUAGUGGCUUACCAAGGCUUUGACGGGUAGCCGGCCUGAGAGGGUGACCGGCCACAUUGGGACUGAGAUACGGCCCAGACUCCUACGGGAGGCAGCAGUGGGGAAUAUUGCACAAUGGGCGGAAGCCUGAUGCAGCAACGCCGCGUGCGGGAUGACGGCCUUCGGGUUGUAAACCGCUUUCGCCUGUGACGAAGCGUGAGUGACGGUAAUGGGUAAAGAAGCACCGGCUAACUACGUG